rnacentral:rRNA from 1 species
GCAAGGGUGAAACUCAAAGGAAUUGACGGGGGCCCGCACAAGCGGUGGAGCAUGUGGUUUAAUUUGAUGAUACGCGAGAAACCUUACCAGGGCUUGACAUAUUUUUGACGUUCACAGAGAUGUGGAUUUCUCUUCGGAGACAAUUAUACAGGUGCUGCAUGGUUGUCGUCAGCUCGUGCUGUGAAGUGUUGGGUUAAGUCCCGCAACGAGCGCAACCCCUGCUGUCUGUUGCCAUCAUUAAGUUGGGGACUCAGACGGUACUGCCGGUGACAAACCGGAGGAAGGUGGGGACGACGUCAAAUCAUCAUGGCCCUUAUGUCCUGGGCUACACACGUGCUACAAUGGCAGGUACAGAGCGACGCGAGACCGCGAGGUGGAGCAAAUCGCAGAAAGCCUGUCUCAGUACAGAUUGAAGUCUGAAACUCGACUUCAUGAAGGUGGAAUCGCUAGUAAUCGCGCAUCAGCAUGGCGCGGUGAAUACGUUCCCGGGCCUUGUACACACCGCCCGUCACACCACCCGAGUUGGGGGUACCCGAAGUCACUAGUCUAACCUGCAAAGGAGGACGGUGCCGAAGGUAUGCUUGGUAAGGGGGGUGAAGUCGUAACAAGGUA